rnacentral:lncRNA from 1 species
UCUCUCUUGGUGCAAUUCAAAAUGCAAUGAGUUGUUAGUGAUGAUGAUCGCGUUUCUUUUAUGUUUCUAAUUUGAUUCAUAAAAAAAGAAAAUAAUGAAAUAAAAAAAACAUUGAAGUAAUUCAAAAAAUGCCUCACCCGUGUGCAGAAAGGCUAGUAUCUUAUGAUGAGAGAGCAUAGACAGGGGGUACGGGCCUCCAUAUUCUAUCUUAAUUUUGUUGUAGAAAAUGAGGUAAACCAAGAUUUCUAUGUCUUUGGCUGAGAGGACAUGAUUUUUGCCAUUGGAAAAAAAAAAAACUAUUAAUUGUUGUUGGAACAAUUUAAAAGACAUUUUUGUCACAAUAUUUUUUUAUUAUUAUCAUGCUUUAGUAAUAGUUAUUUCAGCAAUAGUCGUGUUUAUUCUGUGAUUAUCUUUUUUUCUAUAAAGACAAUAAAGGCUGAGUAAAAGACUUAGGAUAUCCAAUAUAUAUGUAUUUGUGUUAUUUUAAUUUUAAUUGGGAAGUGAUAUUGGCAUUCCAAAAAUCUCAUUCUACACUCCUCACAAGUGUAUUUUUCUUUCCUAAUAUAGAAAGUUUGGAGCGUAAAAUGAGAUUUUUGGAGUGCUAAUAACAAUUCCCUUUUAAUUUUGGCAAGAAAGUCAGUGAGAUGAUACUAUUGUUUGGGUUCAUAUUUGAACCUUGGGCUACAAGUAGGUGGAAGCCCAAAGAUGCCGAAUAAAAGAAGACUUGCUCGAAGCCCAGCAUCAAGCCCAGAGACAAGUUGGUGCCUUCCUAUUAAUGCAUAGGCCAUGUGCCUAUUAUUUAAAAUGUCAAUUGAUAGGGACUAACUCACAAUUAGCCAAAAAGCAUUUUUCAUUCGUAACACAAGUAAAAAGCUGAUGACUUACUACCCUCCAAGUGCUUUCGGGCAAGAGCAAAGUCACUACAGUCAGGCUAAUCUGCCUAUAAAAGGAGAAAGAGGCCCCAGAGACAAGGACACUCAACCAAUCAAACAAAAAAACAUACAAACUCUGCUCUCAAGCCAGAUUUGCAUCCAAAAGUUGUAAUUAGCCCAGAUCACAGUCAUUUUCAGGAUAUCUCCCUCACAAAAGCCAUAUUUUGUCUAGUUUAAAGCUCUGCUAUCACCCCUAGUGGCGUAAUAUCAAUUCCCUUGUGUAAACUUGUUUACCAUCCAUCCUUUUUAGUGAGUAAACCUUGUAAACUUAAAAGAGAAGUGAUUGCAAGAAGUUCAACCUUGCCCGACAAGGUGAAAUCUUGCUCAAAGCUCUUUGUUUGUUUUAUAAGUUGAUAGAUCUACUGCUUAAUGCCUUCUCCAGCAUGUAUUCAAGUCAAUUAUAUCAGUUUUCCCAUUAUAAGAGUUUCAUUUUCAUUCGGAUCUGGUUAGUUUAAUGGAUAUGUUAUCAUUAAAAUCAAUCAAGAACCAAGUAAAUGACUUAAAAGGAUCUGGACUCCCUCCAUUUGCAAGGCAAGAAAAAGAACUUAAUGUGGACUUAACUCAUCCAUGACAAUCCUUUGAUAACAAGAAGUCCAAGUAACUUGGGGCGCAAGUAAUCGACUAAACACAAUCUUGUUCUACAUCUGUUAUACUGAGAUAACAGCACGCUUAGCACUUGGUUAGUUUUGAUUGCGAGCCUCAAGGCCUACAUCUAAGGCCCUACAAAGGCACAUUUCAAAACAAACUCUAUCCCUUUCUUGCAGCACAUCAGCAGGUAAAAGCUCGACUGCAUAUCCAAAGUGCCAAUCCCUUGGAGCUGUGCUGAAAGCCGAGGAGCCCUCUCCAAAGAAAUCUUUGCCUGAACAUAGUUUUGGCACGCUCGGUGGGAUCACAUUAGUCUUGUAUGCCAAAAAGAAAAAGGAAGGAUAAAACCUUCAUGUGCAACACAAAGUACAGGCUACCCGAGUGUCUACCAAGAUCAAACAUGACAGAUUGCCCAGAGAAUGUUUCCUUCUUAUAAGGACCAGCUAUCCUGAGAAGCUCGACGUCAUAUGUGAAGUCGGGGGGAAUGGUAACCAAUGAAGACUUGCAAGCCACCAUGUUGCAAGUGUUAAAAAGUAUGGAGAAGAUUUCCCUGGAAACCAGGGGAGAAGUAAAUAGACUUUGUUCUUUAACAGGGAGUUUGCAAAGAAUACUAGAUCUGGAGUACUCUACUCCAAAGAAUGGUUAUGUAAGGGGAGCAAGCCUUGAGAAAGAACCAGUUAUUCCAUUCUUUACUUUGCUCAAGGAAAAGAAUGGUAAAGAUAAAAACAAGGAGGAAUCUGGAGCUAGUCAGCCAGUGUUGGAGGAAGUCCUAGAAGCGGAGUUGCUCGACCCCUUACUAUUUUCACUUUAUAGUAGAGGAGGGCAGAGCGGGCAAGAAAGAAUAAAGUAUGUGAUGCCUCAAUUGAUCAGGGAAUCUAGUGGAAAAGACGGGCCUACCAAGGUAGACAAGCCUCCUCCUUAUAAGCCCCUACCAUUGGCCAGUAAGGGAGGGGAUGCUAAGUGAAGGAAGUCCAAACCAAGAAAAGUGACUUUCUUGGGUAAUGAUCAUAGCCUGAAAUAGGAACCUCCUCAUACUCUGCCUGAUAAUACAGUUCAAGGAUAAAUUGGCCGAGUUGAGGAGAAUGGUGGCCUGGAAUGCUCAGCCACAAGCUCGCCCGCUGUUUAGGAUUACCUAUCAGAAGCCCUAUCCUAAGUACGUUGACGAGUAGAACCAUUUUUCAGUCAACUUUAAGAUGCCUGCAUUCCCAACAUUCAGUUGAGAAUACGGCAAUGUGUCUUCCAGAUAUCACAUUUUCAAGUUUUCUAAUCAUUGUGUGGCAUUUAAAGACAAUCUCAACUACAAGUUGAGAUUGUUUGGGAACUCCUUGGUGGGCUUAGCAUAUCAGUGGUACUCUUGUUGCCUCAUAAUUCUAUUACUGAUUGGGGGCAAAUGGAAAUGGCCUUCCAUAAGCUGUUUUACAAGGUCAAGCUUGAGAUGACUAUCAACUAUUUGGUUGAGGUCAAGCAGUAUGAGCAUGAAUCCAUUAAAGAUUUCAUGAUGAGGUGCCAAUUCCUUAUAAAUCAUGCACAUCUCAUAUCCAUCACUCAGAAUGUGUUGAGAUCGCCUUUGAGGAAGAAGUUUUAUGACGUGCAAUUCAAUGAGUUGCAAGAGUUGGUGAUUGCUGCCACCAAGUAUGAGAAACUAUUACUGGAACAACAAGUAAAACACUCAUCUAAGGUGCCUUCUUUUUAUAAAAGCAAAGUUGUAAUCCACCAAGUAGAGUUCGAAUAGGUAGAGCCAGAACAAAAUGAUGGCCAUGAGAGAUAAGUGAUAGACAUGUGCGCAGCGGAAAUGACUAACCCCUUCAAACCUUUGAUAAUGAAGAGGUUAGUCCAGCCAGUUAAUGACAAAAAAAUGGUUAUGAAUGAUGGUGGUUUUGUCCCCAUGAAGCCCCCCAAAUACCAAAGUUAUUCCUUUGACUUAAGCAAGGCCGUAGAAAUCUAUGAAGAGUUGGUUCGGGCGAAAGUGAUUAUGCCCGACAUCACCAAAAAGCUACCCAAACCCGAAGAAUUGAGAGGGAAGAAGUAUUGCAAGCUCCAUUACAUUUUCAAUCACUUUAUAACCAACUGUGUCCAGUUCAAGAAUUGGAUACAAGACCUUAUAAUAAAAGGAAAGUUGUUGCUGGAGAAACUGCAGGCCAAUAUGAUGAUUGACACUUACCCCUUCCCAGAAGCCCUAAUAAACAUGAUCAACUUAACGUGGGCUAAGAAGGGGAAAGGAAAAGCUACUUGGGAAAUGAAAACAGAAAUGAGGCAAGUUGAUAGACCGACUGAAGAAGCUAUCAAGUUGCCCGAGAAACCCAAAACAGUCAUAAUCAAAUGAGUGGUGUUGAGUAGUAAGUGACAAAGUGAGUGUGAGUUGGAAGUCCCAAGAGUCAUUAUCGAUCAGGAGCUAAUCAGAAGAAGAGAGAAAGAGAAAAGAACAAGAAGCUCGUAGAAAUGUUAUGCGGGCAACUAAAAGAGAGACAUCUAGGAAUAUUUUCCAACAGUUGGGAUGAGACACUUGACCAAAGGGCUUGUCAUAAGUGUUCAGGAAUUACGAAGCUUCUGAAGAGGUAGAGGACAAAGAAGCCAAGGUGCCAAGAUAGGUGGAUGUAAGGCCACCCCAACCAAGCUAUGCUGGUAGAGAUGUCAGAGUAAAAGGAAGGACAGUCACAAAGAAGAAUCUUGCCUGACUCGGGCGGAAAUGGUAUGUGGUUGGAAAGGAUGGAAGACCCGUCAAAGAAAUGGGAACCUCCAUGAUCAAGAGAGUCCAGAGGCAACACAAAGCCUACAUGAACUCAUUGAAAGCCCCACUGCCUCAGAAACCUCUGAGAAUGUAAAGGUUAAGAAAGUACCUAAUAGGGGAAGAAAUCAACUCCAUUGGAGAACCAAGGAGGAGGUUGAAAAGGGUAAUAGCAAGACCAAAGGGGAAGGAGACCAUGUGCUGCAGAACCCCUAUCCUGGGAAAUAUAGAAUCUUGAGGAGAGCUCAAGAGGAUAUGGUGAUGAUGACAACCCUAAGAUGGAGCCUAGAACCAAUAUGUUUUGGGACCAUCUCAUCGGAAAGGGGGUUGCCCACACCAUUGUUGGUUGAUACUCUUUGUGAAGUUCCAUAACAAGUGUUGAACUUUGACAUAACCUAAGAGGAAAUGCUGCCCGAACUAAUGCUGCCCAUGGAAGCACAGGUUUGGUUGAAUGAAUUCAUGGGCCACAUUGGGAGCAAGAAUGAUGACUUACCUGGACCCAGCAACUUUCACGUAAACAUAACGUAUGUUUUAUCUACCAUGUUUUGUGCUGAGCAUGAUCAACCUACCAUAAUGGAGGGUGACUACUUAGCAAUAGAACCUAUGAUGACACAUGUUAGUGUUGAAGAUGCGGGAAAAAAAGAGUUGGGCAGAGUAGAAUUGGUCUAGCCCACAAAGAGAGAGCCCGAGAAAGUGUACACCGACAGAAUGGUCUUCAGUCGCCCAAGUUUGACCCUAGCCAACCAUCUCAAUCCCAUUUACGUAACUACUCAUCUUAAGGGAAUGCCCUUCAAAAGGGUUUUGAUUGAUAGGGGAGCCGCAAUCACUGUGUUGCCUUUCAAGCAGAUGAAGAGGGUAUGUAAAAGUGAGGAGAAUCUCAUCCCCACGGACUUAACAAUUUUCAGUUUUUCUGGAGCCAUCACUAGAACUCAUGGGAUAUUGCCCUUGGAGGUUGACUUGGGUUCCAAGCAAAUCAUGUUAGCUUUCUUCGUUAUGGAUAAUACUUCCACAUAUGAAGCCUUAUUGAGCCGAGAUUGGAUUCAUCAGAGUCUUUCAGUGCCUUCCACCUUGCAUCAACAAGUGGCAGUUUACCAUGAGGAAUAAGCUAUGAGACCUGGAUUUUGGGAGAUGAUGGAGGCCGAGUCACGGCCAUUCCUCCCCACUGCCAAUGUGGCAGAAGCCAACUUUUAUAAUCCUAUUAUUGGGAUUCUCUAAUGCUUAGGAACUUAUGAGAACAAUAACUCGACUAAGGUGACGGCCGAAAAACUUUUGGAGCAAGAAUUAUUCCUCACCAAGGAAGAAUGGGAUAAACCCCAUAUUGUCCCAACUCCCCGACACUAGUAAUAUCAGAACAAAGAAGAAUAGACCAAAUAAUUGCAAUCGGGUCCUUAAUCAAAAGAUUGUUGGUGUAUGGAAAGGAGAUAAAGCAAGAAUGGGAAAAUAUUACUUGACUGAUUUAGGGAAAAAUUUGCAAAACCAUCUAGUUAGUGCUAAGUUUUUAAGAAAUGUCAUCCAACUAUAUGAGGUGUUAGAGAUCGUUAUAUUAAAGAGAGUUAAUGAUUCCAAAAAGAAGUAAAGUCAGAUGAGACAAUAAAAAUUCAAUAUAAUGCAAUAGGUGAAACAAGUCAAGAUGAAAAUAGGUAUGCUUUAUUUCAUGAAAAAGGAUUACAUUUAAUCCUAGCCUAACUGAUGUACAUCUUCACCAAGAGUAAUUAUUCUGGAGUAUAAGUCUGCAUAAGUGUGAAAAUUCUGGUAGGCUCGGCCAAAACCAUGCUGCUAUUGAUAAGUUGAGACUCGGCAUUUUCCAGUUCCAUAUUUUCUUUCUUCACUUUUUCAAUUUGCUGUUGAAGUUUGCCGAGGAAAGUCACAUGUUCGGUCUUCAACGCAGCAAGUUGCUCAUCUAAUUUAUGGAUAUCAGAUGACACCACCUUGAUCUUCUCCUCCAUUGCUGAACCUUCAUCCAUUAGCUGAUGAAUUUGAGUUGAAGUACUGGAUUGUUUUUCCUUGAAACACCUUACUCGAUUGGCUUGCCUUUCAGUCCGACUAUGUUGAUCUCUAAAAUCCCUCAAGUUCUCGAAAUAUGAGAUGAAUGACUCAUACUGAACUCUUGAUAAUUGAUCAGCCUUGAACAAGUCAGUCACAGCUUUAUCUACAUCAUGGAGGGCUUUGAAACUGAAUGAUGCUGAGAAAUCCCUCCUAGACCAUUCUUGGAAGACUUGUCAUUGAUCUUGAAGGCCUGAAAACUCAGAUGGAUGCCUUAAAGAUCUUAGCUUUGUCUUAAGCUACCCGAAUUCCUUAAAAAGCUCGGGUAGAAAUACUGUUGAAGAAAUCGGUACAGGAGAAGAAGGUCGUGUUCCCGCUACUUCAAAGGGUGUAGCAAGGAAUGAGGCUUCAACAGAAAGAUGAGCUUGAAAGAUAGAAGCAGUAGUGGUCUUAGUCUUCUUUUUAGGCUUAGAGAUAGGAGUCCCUGUUACCCUAGAAGCUAGAAAAGGUCGAGGAAGUUCUGUUUUGCACCCUAGGAGCGGUAAGGACUUGCCCCAACCUUCCCAGAGCCCUGUUGCAACCAAGGGAGAGAAGUUAAGAAUAGAGUUUAUAGUUCAGAGUAGAGGAAGGCAAGAUAAGAAAUGUCAAUAUACCUGAGUUAAGUUCAAAACCAAGGAAGGAAAUAAAGGAUAAGUAAUUUCAUUUUGUGGAAAAGAACCAUCCUUGCUUGUUGAAGAAUGAGGAAUAAUGCCCGACCCCUACCAAAUGCCUAUAGACAUCAAAAAGACAAAUGUCAAAAGGAUAAUUUGCAAAAAACAAAAAGAAAAAGUUUAAAUAAUGAUAUACCUUAGGUUGAGAGAUGGGUGCUUCAUAAGUAACAACUGCAUUAAGAAGAUCUGCAGCUUGAGAUGCAUGCGGGUUAGUAACCUCUAAAACAACAGGGAUCUCAGGGACAGGCUCCCCAAAUGCAGAUGUUGUUGAUUGAUGAAAGGUUGGUACCGGGAAAGAUUGAAAAGAGUAAAAAGAAAAUAAGUAUGAAAUGAGGGAGGUUUCAAGCAUAAAAGUGAUAAAAUAACAAAUACUCACCAAGUUAGUAUCCUUGUCUACAAAAUGCAGCAUUUCCCUUGUCUUUGAAUUGAAUUAAGGGGUUUGAGUCACCACCAACACAAGUUCCCCAACCUUAACCUACAAAAAAUGAAAGACAAGUGUUGAAACUCUAAGAUUGGUAGAAAUACAAGCCGAAAGAAUAAAAAGAAAUGUACCUUUAGAGACUUAGCCCAUGGAAGGGAAGUUUGUACCAUUCGGGCUGGAGAUGAAAAGGUCUUGGGCAGAUAAAUCCUUUCUUUCCUUAUGGCCUAUUUUAGAAAUCAGGCAGAAAGUCAAAGGAUAGUAGAAAAGAAAAAGGAAGAACUCAAAGAAAUGAAACUUAAGAUACAAGUUAUACCUCCAGUUUUUCAAAGGUAGAAUCUUGCAGAUUGUUUGCUUGUUGACACAUCUCAGCCCACAGUGGGUCAUCCCUUGAAGCGAUAAUAGGCUUUUUGGUUGCUUAGGGCCCUAAUGUCAAAGGAAAUAGGAGUUGUUAGACCUCAUUACAAAAUUGCUAUCUGAGAAUAAGAGGAAUUAAACAAGGUUUACUCACUUGAGGCUUUCUACUUCUUCAUACCCAUACCUGCCUCAACUACUGAAGUAGAAGGCUUAGAGGCCUUGAAGGUUUGUGCCCUCGUAUUUUUCUUUGUUGGAACAGGCCGCUCUUCAGGCUCAGACUCUAAAGUUUCUACCACUGUUACCCGAGUCUGACGUGUAGCUUGAGACUCGACUACAGGUUCUGCCUCACUCUCAGAAUCCCCAAGUAACUCGAAGACAUCUCUGCCUUCUCCAACACCUUGCCUUUUUGUUUCAGCUGUAGCUUCUUGGAGGAUGAAGGCGUAUGCAUCAUCUUCAUCUUGCCCAACGACCACCUUUGCAGGGUUGCCUUAGGCUGCAAGUACAAAGAAACCAAGGAAAGGAUUAAAAAUGGCAGAUUCAUGAAAUUUUCAAGUUAAAUGGGUAAUAAAUACCUAUCAAAAGGAGUUGAUUUUUCUAAUAAAUCAUUUCCUUCCAAUCUUCAAGCUCAGUUGGUUUUGGAUGGGACUUGAUAGAUAGUUGCUUGAAAGGGCGGUCAUGAGCUUCGUGCCGAUCUCCUCCAUAUUUCUUAGUCCAUUUUGCUUCCCACCAAGAUGAGAAGCUUAAAAUGCAUUCGAAGUUCAGAGCUAUGGGCUUUCGGGCGACCUUGCUCAUGACCUCAAGACUGUGUUGGGCAGCUUGAAAAGUGACUUCAGGUAGGGAGAGAAGACGGUAAGAGGUGCCAUAUUGAACAGAGUCAAAAAACGGAACUGGAAUGGCUUGCCUAAAGCCCAGUUGCCUGCUACAGAAGUUUGGAUGAUAAACUUCUAACCCGCGCUCGUAGCAGUCACUUCUCACACCCCAAGCCAGAUCCCUUGAUUGGAUGCAACUAAUAAAUCUCUCUACAAGAGGGACUAGCAUAUUCUCUAAAAGCAUCUUGGAAGGUCUGGUUAGAAAACCAAUGGUAUCUCCUUAGGACUGAAACACCUCAUUCCAAAUAUGCCCAAGUCCUACAGACUCUGAAGAAAUUUAAACAAGUGAAGGUAGACUAAUUGGUUGGAGAAGUUUCAGUUAAAAUUCGGGCAAGGGCUACUCCUUCUAGGAAUUCUAGGUUGAGAGCUCGAAGCUAAGGAAAAUACCAUUGGAGCCAAAGCUGGAUCAUCCAAGUUGGACCAUGAAGGUUAGUUUCAAAUGGUUCACCCUUUGUAAUUUUGUACAUGAAAUGAUAGAGAUGAGCAAGGAGAAAGGGGUAUGUGGCAACAUCGUCAAAGUUGUGAAGAGCCUCUACUAGGGGAAUCCAUUCCACUUUCACUUCUUUAGAUUUAUUGGGGAAGACAUGUUUGUUAAACCGGUAGAGGAGAAAAUACAUGUGUUCCUGAUCUUUGUUAGCUUUAGAGGAAGAUGAGCCAAAUUCCUUCUUGGCAAAUUGGAUGGUCGAGGACAUAGGGCCCAUCCUAUAAUCGAAAGUGUUGGUGCUCGAGUUCUAGAAAAAGAGUGCAGUUGUCAGCAGCUAAGGCUUAGCAAUCACAAUCUAUUUGGAUAACAUUAUCAGCUCAUAAAUUUCGUUGUUCAUCCACUUUUUCUUGAAGGUUGGCUCGAGCUCGUUGAUCUAUUGCACCUAUCCUUCAUCCUUCAUCAGAAGGAAGCCACGACGAUGGUUCGACCAUUUGAAGGACGAAAUGCCCGACUUAGCCUGAAAAGGGUUCGGGGUGAACCAUUUCUCCUUCAGCAUAUUAUUUUCAACAGCAAUUGGGACCUGAGAAGUCCAUGUAGGUCCCAAGGAGUGCACAUCUCCCUCAUCGAAGAAGAGUUCAGUGUGCAAGCUUGCCUGAGGGCGAUGAAGGCCAUUGAGAAGAAGGCGCAUGGUGGAAAUUCCCUUGCCAGUCUCGCAGGGAGAUUGGGUUCGAGCAGCUUUAGGUGCUAUUAGGUAGAGUUGAAGGAAACUAAGAAAGCAAACAGGAUUUUCUGGGAAUUCAAAAGCUUGGAAUGGCUAUGAUAUUCUGUUGAGGGGUUUAGGAAAGGAUUAUAUAGUAAGUGGCCAAUUAACAGUGGAGUUCAUAGGUUAAUGCAAAGGUCUUGGUAACCAACGGUUGCUUUAAAUGGCACAAGUUCCGAGCAAAAGUGUGCGACAUCUAUUCAAUUAUUAUUUACACCUCGAUUUGCAAGCUCAACAACGAUUGAAUGGGGCACUGUUUAAGUUAAUAUUUGAACCUUGGGUUGCAAGUAAGUGGAAACCCAAAGAUGCUGAUUAAAAGAAUACCUACCCUAAGCCCAGCAUCAAGCCCAUAGAUAAGUUGGCACAUUCCCAUUAAUGCAUAGGCCAUGUGCCUAUGAUUUAAAAUGUCAAGUGAUGGGGACUAACUCACAAUCAGCCAAAAAGCACUUUUCAAUGGCAACACAAGUAAAAAGUUGAUGACUCAUUACCCUCCAAGUGCUUUCGGGUAAAAGCAAAGUCAUUGCAGUCGGGCUAAUCUUCCUAUAAAAAAAAGGAAGAUGCCCUAGAGACAAGGACACUCAACCAAUCAAACAAGCAACAUACAAACUCUGCUCUCAAGCCAGAUUUGCAUCCAAAAGCUGUAAUCAGCCAAGAUCUCAGUCAUUUUCAGGAUAUCUCCCUCACAAAAGCCAUCUUUUGUCUAGUUUAAAGCUUUGCUAUCACCCAUAGUGGCGUAGUAUCGAUUCCCUUGUGUAAACUUGUUUACCAUCCAUCCCUUUUUAGCGAAUAAACCAUGUAAACUCAAAAGAGAAGUGAUUGCAAGAAGUUUAACCUUGCCCGACAAGGUGAAAUCUUGCUCAAAGCUCUUUGUUUGUUUUAUAAGUUAAUAAAUCUACUGCUUAAUGUCUUCUCCAGCAUGUAUUCAAGUCAAUUAUAUCCGUUUUCCCAUUAUAAGAGUUUCAUUUGCAUUCGGAUCUGGUUAGUUUAAUGGAUAUGUUAUCAUUAAAAUCAAUCGAGAACCAAGUAAAUGACUUAAGAGGAUCUAGACUCCCUCCAUUCGAACAUACAAGACUAUGAACCGAAAAUCCUUGUUCGCAAGGCAAGAAAAAGAACUUAAUGUGGACUUAACCCAUCCACGACAAUCCUUUGAUAACAAGAAGUCCAAGUAACUUAGGGUGUAAAUAAUCCACUAAACACAAUCUUGUUCUACUUCUAUUAUACUGAGAUAACAGUGGCACGCCUAGCACUUGGUUGGUUUUGAUUGCGAGCCUCAAGGCCUACACCUAAGGCCCUACAAAGGCACCUUUCAAAACCAACUCUAUCCUCUUCUUGCAGCACAUCAGCAAGCAAGAGAUCGACUAUAUAUCCAAAGUGCCAAUCCUUUAGGGAGAUAUGCUGAGAGCCAAUGAGUCAUCUGCGGAGAAUUCUUCGCCCUGAACAACUAUCUAAUUUGGCAUGAAGAAAAACCCAAAUCGAGUCCCCAAGUUUGAUGUUAAUUAAGAAUUUGAUAUUCUCACCCAACCCAACUAUAUUAGUUAUGUGCAUACCAAGGUUAGGAGGAAAGACCAUGGCAUCUAGAAACAUAUGACUUUUAAUAUUGAAAUUAACAUAUAUAAGCGUCAGACCGACCUAAACAUGCACCCUUUAAUUUCAUUGUGUAUUUAAUCAUUUAUGGUAGAGUUUUUACUCAUCGUGCCUCAUACUCCUUUCCCAUGAGUCAUGAUCAUACAAAAUUGUAGCCACAAGAGUUUAAUAAAUAAAUAUUCACUGUCAAUGCUAUCCUCUCUCACUUGAAGAAAGAAAGAGACACAAUGUUGAUGUGAUGUGGGAGAGAUUAAUUAUUUCUAAUAUUAUGAAAUGAUUGUGUUCAUUAUGAGAUAGGAUGAACACCAUGUAAUUCGAUCCCAAUUGUUUCAUUAAUAAAUUUUUUUAUUGUAACUAAUGAAUAUGAAUGUUUUUCUUAUUUGGGGAGAGAAAGAACCAUUCUAAGAGAAGCUUGUAUUCGUGUAGUCACUCGUGCUAGCUAUGUGGUUCUAUUCAUAUAAGGAAUAUUGUUUACGAAUUGGCAGUGCCACAUUAAAAGCUACCAUGGGCUAACGCCCAGGUUGCUUUUGGUGGAAAGAGAAAAUCUUAUAUGAAAUUUUUAGUACUUUCCGAAUGUAACUCACCGUAUACUUGGUCACUAAGCUUAAUUAUCUGAGUUUAAUUAUAUGAAUUUAUAUAUUACAAUUUAUAAACCAUCUCUUUUUCUUACACUCUUUUUCUCAUCAUUUAUUGUACAUAUUUGUUUCAAGUUUGAUUUUAUUUGAAUUUUAACACGUAUUUGUUAAUAACGAAAUAUUCUUAGCUCACCCAAUGAAAAUUUUCUUAGGCUAGCUAAUAUUGUGAAAAAUAUUCUCCAUUUAUAAAAUUUAAAUAUUUAAGAUAGCCCACCUGGAAAAUUUUUCUUACUUCACCCUUACACAUAAGACUUGAUUGUAUAGAAAAAUUUCUUGUGAAGAGAGGUUUGAACUUUAAAUAUAUUCCAACUUUAUAAACAUAUGAACCAUUAGAUUAGCAGAACAUAUGAAUUUGAAGUUAACUCUUUUACUAUUAGUAUAAGAUACCACAAACUUAAGUUAUAAGUUGGUUAAUCUUUUCAUUCAUAAAUCUUCCUCCUGUUUUUGUAACAUAUUACUAUCAACAACAAAUUUUAGAGUAAAUGCGAUACCUUUACUAUCUUUAUGAACAAGGAAUCUUUCAUGAAUGCUUCAAUUCAAACUCCCAACAUGUAUAUAUUACUUAGUUAUUCAUUACUUGCAUUCCUAAUAUAUACACACACAUCUCAUUCAUUUUGCUUAUCAAAAAUUAGCUCCAAGAAAUUUUACUUGUCAAGUUAAACACUUAUUUGGUUGAAAUUAAACACCAACCACUUGCCAAAAAUUUAACUUAGUGGGGACCCUGGGAUGCCUCAACGGCUCCAAUGACAAUGAGAUGGGCAAUUCGGUAAUUUCAUCAUCAAAACAGUGUCCCAUCACCAACUAUAAUAUGAUGUAUCAUAUAUAUAAUAUGAUUUUUUGUCCUUUUCGUCUCGGCACCGCUCGGCACCGCUCGUCAACUUUGCUGAUUUUCCUAAUUU